rnacentral:sRNA from 1 species
GUUUGCAGCCCGCUGAACGACAAAAGCCUGAGGCCCUCUAAGGGCUUCAGGCUUUUCUUUCUUUCAAUG